CACUCUGCGCCGACCGGCUGGGCCUGGCACCCGCGGGCGGCCCCAGCCUCAGUCUCCAGCUACCUUUGCCUCCUGCGGCCGCCCCCAGGCAGAGCUGCGAUCCCACCGCCGGGGGUGCAGGGAGAGGGAAGAUCUGGCCUCCUUGGUCCUUUUGCGUGGGCUCUUCAGAGCGUGAGCGCCGGGGAGGGACUCCGGAGAAAAGCUUGGGGGGCUGCGUAUUGCUGCUCCCCAAGCUGGGCGUCAGGACCAACCCCGCCGCCCCCACGGGCCUGACGGGAGAGGAGGAAGGGCUCGGGACGGUCGGCUCGCCGAGCCAACCAGGUGGCGCCUGAAGAGCUGUCCAUGGUGUCGACAGCCCAGCAAACGGCACCGAGUUCCUAGUCUGAGUGUCUGGAUAGGUAGCAGAAGAAAAACUAAUGCCUGCUCUGGGACAGUUCUGUUCGGUGCCUUUUCUUGUGUGUUCUGGAGCUCACAGGGUUCUAUCGAAGAGUGCUUAGGUGUAUACGAUGGAGAGUGGGACGUCACAAACCAGGAUCUCAAGGCUGAGUCCAACAAAACAUGGCCGUAGGGAGGCCACGACAGCUGUGGUUGUCACCGACGGAUGAAUAGCUUUUGCCAACCGUGGAAUUUAGUAACUAAAGGCACCUAACCCUUUUAUCUCAUCCUCAUUUUUCAACAAAUGGUGCUUCCUGGCUAAUAUCAGCGUGUCCCAUAGAUUUCUGCUUCCAUUGAAUAGACCUAAUAAGAAAGAGAAUGAAGUCAAAGCCAACAGGGCAGAAAGAAAUUGAAAACCUGAAGAACCCAGCACUCAAACUGUCUCCACUUGCGUUUGCUUUUUCUUUACCUCUUCUCCUUCUGGUUUUCAACAGCCAAAGCAGGAUUUAAAUUUGGUUAUGUUGCAAAAAUCAUUUCCCUCUUCAGGCCCUGUCAUGUGACUUGAUUUUUUCGUCCAUUUUAGAGAAGCUGUACCCACCCUGGUUUCAGGACACGGAACUAAAUUUAUUAGAAAAGAAGCCACUUCAAGUCAUGAAGGAGAAACACAAAGAUUCUUGGAUUUAGUUCUAAGAACUAGAGGGGAUUUCUAUGUCAGUACUGUCUCAGAAAAAACUGUUGAUAUCAAAUGUGUUGCUUGAGAAGUACCUUUUUUUUUUUGAGACGGAGUCUCGCUCUGUCCGCCCAGGCUAGAGUGCAGUGGCGCGAUCUCGGCUCACUGCAAGCUCCGCCUCCCGGGUUCACGCCGUUCUCCUGCCUCAGCCUCCCGAGUAGCUGGGAUUACAGGUGCCCACCACCACGCCCGGCUAAUUUUUGUAUUUUUAGUAGAGACAGGGUUUCACCGUGUUAGCCAGGAUGGUCUCGAUCUCCUGACCUCGUGAUCCACCCGCCUCGGCCUCCCAAAGUGCUGGGAUAACAGGCGUGAGCCAUCGCGCCCGGCCGAGAGGUACCUUUUAUGACAACUGAAAUCAUUCAGUUUCAAGAGGAGUUGGGUACUGAAACCAAACUUGCUUACUCCAAAGCCCAAAAUCCUUUCCACCAUGCCUGUGUGUCUGUAAGGCUACACUAGAAAUGCUUCCUUUCUUAUAGUGGGAAGCAUGGGUACUAAGCUCUUUUACGAACAAGUGUUCUGCAUAUUCCUGGUUCCUUUUUAUUUUGGACUGAGGAGAUUUAGGUCAAAAUUUCUGGGUUCUGGGUUGGAAUUCCAGCUUCUUUCUUCAAAUUAAACUGGGGGGUAGCAAGACUUAUUCCUAGAUUUGUUAGAAGGCCACAGCUUUUCCACAUCUCAUUUUAGUCAUGAAAAAGACACAUGCCCAGAGUUUGAAAAACAUAAAGGCAAUUUGACUAGUGGCUUGAUUGGUUCUAUCUUCUUUUUCUUGUCCCUCUUUCCUAUUUAUACUUCUACUUUUGUUACAGCAUUUGACAAUAGUUGGAAAAAUUUUCACUGACCUUGAAAUGUCUUUGGGAUAGGGUGACUUAAAAUAUAGGUUAAGUGGCAUACACAAACUUCUUAGUGAGAUCCUAAGGGCCUACAGAGACAGGCUGACACCAACUCAACCCUUGAAACUGUGCAAUGAAGAGCCUGUGGGAGGCUAAAAAACGCUACUUCAAAAAGAGAUCCUUGUCUGUGAAUGUUAAUUUAGGUUUACAGAUUUGAUUAAGGGUCUUGAGAUUAUUUUCAAUUAUCCAGGUGGGCCCUAGAGCCCUAGAUGCAAUCAUAAGUGUCCUUAUAACAGGGAGGCAGAGGAAAAUUAAACACGCACACAGGAGAGAGAGAGAGAGAAAAAAAAGUGAUGUGAAGACAGCAGCAGAGAUUGGAGCGAUGUGGCCAUAGCCAAGCUAUGUCAGCAGCCAUCAGAAGUUGGAAGAGGCAAGGAAGGAUUUGAGCCUAGAGCCUUUGGAAGGAGCAUGGCCCUGUUGGUUCUGGCCUCCAGAACUGCAAGAAAAUACAUUUUUGUUGUUUUAAACCACCCAGUUCAUGGUAAUUUGUAACACCAGCUACAAGAAAUUAACACAAGGCUGAUGUGACUUUCCAUCAGGAGAGAGACAGCCCCAGCCACCCUGUGAAGACGUGCCUUUCGUCAAGAUUGUAAGUUUCCUGAGGCCUUCCCACCCAUGCGGAACUAGUUUUAUUUGAGAAAAUGCCAUACCACUGAAGAAAAUUGCCUAACAGCUGGAAAGAAGAAAAAAAAUAGGAAAAAAUCUUCCUGUGACUUCCUACAACUUUUGGGAUAAGGACCAAAGUAUUUCAAAUGACCUACAAGAUCCUCUAUCAUCUGGACUAUGGACUUACUUGCUCACUCCAGCUGUCCUAUGCUUUCUUCAGCGCCUCCAGUGUAGCCUGCUCUCUUUCACCUCAGGGCUAACUUCUAUUUUUUCUCCAGGUCGAAUGAUCUAAAUAUCACUUCCUCAGGGUGGAAGGAAAUCUUCUGGGACUAGCUAGUCAAGGUCUCUGUGCCCCUUGUCAUAUGUUCCACAUUACCUUGAAUGUCCCCUUUCAUAACUCAUCACACCUGAGAUUACCUAUUUGUUGUCAACUGUGCUGGACUGUGAACUCCACAAAGAUUCCACUUCUAGCUUACUCAGUGCUAUAUCCCCGAACCUCAGAAGAGUAUCUGCUACAGCAGUACUCCUUAUCUGUGGUUUCAGUCAGCUGUGGCACAGUACAAUAACAUAUUUUGAGAGAGAAACUACAUUCAUAUAACCUUUACCACAGUAUAUUAUUAAUAACUGUUCUAUUAUUAGUUAUUGUUAAUCUCUUACUGUGCCUAAUUUAUAAGUUAAACUUUAUCAUAGGUAUGUAUGUAGAGGAAAAAACAGUAUAUAUAGGGUUCGGUACUAUCUGUGGUUUCAGGUAGCCACUGGGCAUCUUAGAACAUAUACCCCAUGGAUACAGGGAGGACUACUGUAGUCUACUUGCUGAAAAAAUUAAUUGUGGCUUAGUCAGGCAUUUCGUUGAGUACGAUGGACCUUACUUUGGAACUCAGAAAUCACUUUCUCCUGUGAAAAUAUCAAACUUGAAUGAACUUUUGGAAUAAAAUACUUUGUAAAAUGGA